rnacentral:tRNA from 1 species
ACCUGCAUGGUGUAGUGGUUUGAGCGUUGGACUACGACUCUGGGAGACCAGGGUUCGAAUCCCUGCUUGAGCA